CCCUCGGCUUCAACAGCCGGCCGGACCUUACAAGGAAUCAAAUGGAAUCUUUGCGAUCCUUAUCGGACACCCUCGGAUGGUCUUGGUACACAUUGCCACGGCAACCGCGCCCUCAGACCAAGGAUGGAGUCGACUAAUGUGUGUCAAGCUCAAGAAUAAAACCAUGCGAAAAUAAA